UUACAGUUUAUUUAAGGAUGUACUUAGGUGAGGUUAGGUGAAAAUUAAUAAAUUAAGAAGUUAAAAUUGAUACUAUAAGCUGGUAGAGCAUCAAUCAAGGAUAAAAAUAAGCUAAAAAUAUUGAUAGGUCAUGGACCUCCUUUUCGAGAUAUUUGAGAUUUAAAAUAUGGCGGGAAAAGGCUGACUCAGACUUUUACCUUAUAUUUGCAUUGGUAUUAUAAGGUCUCAAAACAAAAGAACAAAAAUUAAGAAUCUUCAAAAAUUUUGGCAAUUGACCUUUCAUGAACUAUUAAGUCUUAUACGAAAAAAUAAAUGGGUGAUAUGGGGCAAAAUAUUUUACAUUGUAUUGUAUGGAAAAACUCCAAGGAGUCCGAACAUUUGGUACAAAUUCCAAAACCUCACCCAAGUACAUCCUUAAG
rnacentral:lncRNA from 1 species